rnacentral:rRNA from 1 species
CUUUAAUCAAACCAAUAAAUAACACAACAAUAUGUUGUACCAUUUAUUCGCUAAUGGUUAAGUAGAAAGCGCUCGGAUC